AACAGCAACAGCAGCAACAGCAGCAGCAGCAGCAACAACAGCAAGCAACAGCAACAGCAACAGCAACAGCAACAGCAACAGCAGCAACAGCAACAGCAGCAGCAACAGCAGCAACAGCAACAGCGUGAUUGUAAAGAGCUGAGUUAUCCCAGGACUUCAGCUCAUGUUCCCAAAGAUUCCACCCACACGUCUGGUCUGGUCCGGACUGGACCGGUGGGCAUUUCCCCAAGCCUUUAUUUGCUCCUUGGGUUCGACUGACAUGUAAACAACAUGGUCGGUCAACCCAGCCGGAGUCUGAAAACCUGAAUCCAGCAGAAUGGACAGGAAUGACCAGGUGGCUAAACAAGAAUGAACGCUGAGUUUGAGAAGUUGGCUGCGAGAGUCAACUUCGUCUCGACUGAAGCCAAGGGCAAACCGGAUGUAAUGGGAGGCAAUCUAUUAGGCUGGCAUUAAGUCCUUUUAUGUUGUAUUCCCCCCCCCCCCCCCUCUCAGUACACAUAUAGGUGAAUGCCAUAGAGGCAGCAGGAGGGGAGGUGUGUUUUAUAUGCGAGUAUAUGCAUGCCUGCGUGUUCAUGUUAUUUGUGUGAAGGGAGGCAUGGUGAGCCUAAAUCAAAGAGCACAUUACGCUCACUGCAGAAGGAACAAAGGAGUUUAAUCUGAAGUUUUCCUACGAGAUUAAAGCAGGAUUUUUACCUCAGUCAAAAGAAAAAUGAAACUUGUGUCCAGAAAAAAACUGAUAUUAAUUAAGUUUAGGAAUGUAAGAAGGUAAUGAUCACUCGAUCUCCCAGGACAAAAGGGUGUUGCAGAACUGCAAAUAGAAUUAAAAUCCCAUAAUUGACAAACUUGGUCAUAUAACUACUGACUUUAAAGAGCACCGUCACACCUACUGGUCAGCUGAAGAGACUGACCACUUGAUGUCAUAGAGUGGGACAGACUCUAUAGGAGCUCAUAAACAAGUGUUAAGUGCGACAUUGUCCGUUGGCGUUGACAUCACUUCUCUUCAUUAGUCCCUUAACCAACAGGAGGAGUUUACUUUGUUGCAACACUGUUGUCUUUGGCAUGUGGAUGCCACAUUUCAUCACCGGUUACCACAGACUUGUUAUGGCACACUUUACAGGCAGACGGUGUCUCUCAGAGGAUGACUUAAGAGACCACAACAUUUAGAGAGUAGACAUGAAAGAAAAGAGCCUAUUGUACCCGAUAGAGUGGGGUCGGAGACAUUGCUGAGUCGCUUCAGAUGCAAGACGCUCCCGUAACUUGAAUUAACACUGUUCAAACUGUCUAGCUUUUAGAGUCCAACACUAUUUUGGACUUUAGCCACUGAUGUUCACUGUUGAAGACAUGCAAGCAUUUGCUA